rnacentral:rRNA from 1 species
UGACCUCAAAUCGAGUAGGACUACCCGCUGAACUUAAGCAUAUCAAUAAGCGGAGGAAAAGAAACUAACAAGGAUUCCCCUAGUAACGGCGAGUGAAGAGGGAAGAGCUCAAAUUUUAAAUCUGGCGUCUUUGGCGUCCGAAUUGUAAUCUAGAGAAGUGUUUUCCGUGACGGACCGUGCAUAAGUCUCCUGGAAUGGAGUGUCAUAGAGGGUGAGAAUCCCGUAUAUGGCACGGACUCCCGUUGCUCUGUGAUACACUCUCGACGAGUCGCGUUGUUUGGGAAUGCAGCGCUAAAUGGGUGGUAAAUGCCAUCUAAAGCUAAAUAUUGGCGAGAGACCGAUAGCGAACAAGUACCGUGAGGGAAAGAUGAAAAGCACUUUGGAAAGAGAGUGAAACAGUACGUGAAAUUGUUGAAAGGGAAACGCUUGAAGUCAGUCGCGCCGUUCGGGAUUCAGCCUUGCUUCUGCUCGGUUUACUUCCCGUUGGGUGGGUCAACAUCAGUUUCGAUCGGAGGAGAAAGACUUGGGGAAGGUGGCAGCAUUCGUGCUGUGUUAUAGCCCCGUGUUGUAUACUUCGACUGGGACUGAGGAUCGCAGCACGCCUCUGGCCGGGGUUCGCCCACGUACGUGCUUAGGAUGUUGGCAUAAUGGCUUUAAGCGACCCGUCUUGAAACACGGACCAA